ensembl:snRNA U6 U6 spliceosomal RNA
GGGUUUGCUUUGACAACACGUACACUAAAUUUGGAAUGAUAGAAAGAAUAGCAUGGCCCUUGUGCAAGGGUGAUGCCCAAAUUUUUGAAGCAUUCAAUAAAUAA